AACGCACCUUGCGCUCCUUGGUAUUCCUCGGAGCAUGCCUGUUUGAGUAUCAUGAAACUCUCAAAGAAAAUCUUUUGUUAAUUCAAUUGGUUUGCUUUGGACUUGGAGGUUUUUUUGCAGAUUGAUUUCUGCUCCUCUUAAAUAUAUUAGCUGGAUCUCAGUAUAUGCUCGGUUCCACUCGGCGUGAUAAGUAUCACUCGCUGAGGACACUGUUAAAAAGGUGGCCGGGAAAUACAGAUGAACCGCUUCAAACAGUCCAUUCACUUGGACAAAAUAAGUUUUAAGAUCUGAUCUCAAAUCAGGUAGGACUACCCGCUGAACUUAA
rnacentral:misc_RNA from 1 species